ensembl:ncRNA VC5.12 ncRNA
UCACACUCUUUCACUCCUUCUUUUAGUUGUCUUUACUUGACUUUAGAUUUUCUAAAGAAUUAUUUUGAGCCAUUUUUAGAUAUUUUUAUUCGAUGAUAUUUUUGUAAGUAUGUAUCACUUGAGAUAUACUUUUUACAACAAAUUUC